rnacentral:rRNA from 1 species
ACUGCGAGUGAAGCGGGAAAAGCUCAAAUUUGAAAUCUGGCAGUCUUUUUUUUCUUCUUUGGCUGUCCGAGUUGUAAUCUAGAGAAGUGCUUACCUGCGCUGGACCAUGUAUAAGUCUCCUGGAAUGGAGCCUCACAGAGGGUGAGAAUCCCGUCUUUGACAUGGACCGCCAGUGCGUUGUGGUGCGCUCUCAAAGAGUCGAGUUGUUUGGGAAUGCAGCUCUAAACGGGUGGUAAACUCCAUCUAAAGCUAAAUAUUGGCGAGAGACCGAUAGCGAACAAGUACCGUGAGGGAAAGAUGAAAAGGACUUUGGAAAGAGAGUUAAACAGUAUGUGAAAUUGUUGAAAGGGAAACGCUUGAAGUCAGUUAUGUCGGCUGGGGAUCAACCUAGCCAUUUUUUUGGCUGGGUGAAUUUCCUAGUCUGACAGGCCAACAUCAGUCUUGACUGCCGGAAAAGAGCGGAGGGAAUGUGGCACCUUUGGGUGUGUUAUAGCCCUCUGUCAUAUGCGGCAGUCGGGACUGAGGGAUGCAGCGUGCCGCGAGGCUGGGUUUUGACCACGUUCACGCUUAGGAUGUUGGCUUUUAAUGGCUCCAAUCGACCCGUCUUGAAACACGGACCAAGGAGUCUAACAUGCCUGCGAGUGUUUGGGUGGAAAACCCUUGUGCACAAUGAAAGUGAAAGUUGAGAUCCCUGUCAUGGGGAGCAUCGACGCCCGGACUUGAGCUUUUAGCAACGGAUCCGCGGUAGAGCAUGCAUGUUGGGACCCGAAAGAUGGUGAACUAUGCCUGAAUAGGGCAAAGCCAGAGGAAACUCUGGUGGAGGCUCGUAGCGAUUCUGACGUGCAAAUCGAUCGUCAAAU